rnacentral:misc_RNA from 1 species
AAGUCGUAACAAGGUUUCCGUAGGUGAACCUGCGGAAGGAUCAUUAACACAAAAAGUUCUUUUUUUUGCUUUGUAACAGAAGCAAAGAAAAAACAUUUUCUCCAAAAACUUUAUUUUUUUACCCCAUAUACCAAACAUGCGAUAGACUGAUAUCAUUUUUAUGAUCAUUAUCUAUUUAAUGAUUACUAAAACAACUCUUAGCAACGGAUAUCUUGGCUCUC